ACGCUCGACACCUACGGAGGCAGCAGUCGGGAAUAUUGCGCAAUGGAGGAAACUCUGACGCAGUGACGCCGCGUGCAGGAAGAAGGUUUUCGGAUUGUAAACUGCUUUAGACAGGGAAGAAAGAAAUGACAGUACCUGUAGAAUAAGCUCCGGCUAACUACGUGCCCGCAGCCGCGGUAAUCUGAGCGGGCUGGCAAGGC
rnacentral:rRNA from 1 species